rnacentral:rRNA from 1 species
UACGGAGGGGGCGAGCGUUAUUCGGAAUCAUUGGGCGUAAAGGGCGCGUAGGCGGCCCCGUAAGUCUUGGGUGAAAGCCCUCGGCUCAACCGAGGAAUUGCCUUGGAUACUGCGGGGCUCGAGGCUGGAAGAGGGCAGUGGAAUUCCCGGUGUAGCGGUGAAAUGCGUAGAUAUCAGGAGGAACACCGGUGGCGAAGGCGGGAUCCUGGGCCAGUACUGACGCUGAGGAGCGAAAGCGUGGGGAGCAAACAGG